rnacentral:rRNA from 1 species
GAGUUUGAUCCUGGCUCAGGAUGAACGUUGGCGGCGUGCCUUAGGCAUGCAAGUUGUGCGAAUUUUACUUUUCUGAAGGGCUUGCCUGGAUGAGUUGUAAAGUUAGCGGCGAACGGGUGCGUAACAAGUGGAUACCUUCCUUGAAGUUCGGGAUAGCCCGGGGAAACUCGGAGUAAUACCGGAGAUGUAGUAAUACCAAAGCCGCAAGGCGCUUUAAGACGGGUCUGCUCACUAUCAGCUAGUUGGUAAGGUAAUGGCUUACCAAGGCUAAGACGGUUAGCUGGUCUGAGAGGAUGAUCAGCCACAUGGGGACUGAGACACGGCCCUGACACCUACGGGUGGCAGCAACUAGGAAUAUUGGACAAUGGGGGAAACCCUGAUCCAGCGACGCCGCGUGGAGGAUUAAGGCCGAAAGGUUGUAAACUCCUUUUGCAUGGGAACAAAUUGAGGGUACCAUGCGAAUAAGCCAUUGCUAACUUCGUGCCAGCAGCAGCGGUGAUACGGGGAUGGCAAACGUUAUCCGGAUUUAUUGGGCGUAAAGAGAUGCGUAGGCGUUUUGUUAAGUCUUUUGUUAAAGACCCAAGCUUAACUUGGGGAAUGCAUUGGAUACUGGCAGAAUUGAGAAGAUCAGAGGAGAACGGAAUUCAUCGAGGAGUGGUAAAAUACGUUGAGACGAUGAGGAACAUUUAUGGCGAAGGCAGUUCUCUGGGAUUUUUCUGACGCUAAGGCUCGAAAGCGUGGGGAGCAAAACGGAUUAGAUACCCGUGUAGUCCACGCCCUAAACAAUGCUUACUAUGCGU